CGGGCCAGGCGAGGGAGCCGGAUAAAGAAAGGAGAGCAGAGGAGAAGGAAAAAAACCUGCCUAGAAGAGAGGGGAGCAAGCAGCGCUAUUCGACCAACGGAUAGGACAAGGCCAGCCACGGCUGGUCGGACGGAGUGGAGUUUAUUAAAAAAACAUGUAUUUUAUUCCGUCGUUUUAUUUGAUCCUGUAGGCUACUAGCUACAAUACUUCUUCCCAGCCGUGCAGGUUUUCCUGGGAGAAGAAGGCAACGAAAACGGACACGUUGGGGAUUUCUGUGGACUAGUAACGUUAGCCGAGCUGUUGUAGGCUAGUGUGGCGCUACUCUUCUUUCUCAUUGUUAGAAAAACACGGAGAUACAUGGUGGUUGGAUUCCAAACUGGUUCGCCUACAUUCCCCGUCGCUUUCCACGAGACAGCGUUUGGAUAUAGGCCGGAUUAUUAUUUUGUCGAACGCAGGAGUAACAUUUGUGACAAGCUAGUCUGCUAAUUGUUGCCAUUUUUCCCCCCUCGCAGCGGCAGCUCGGUUCGUUCUCCCUCCCCCUCUUUGUCGUUCGCCUAGCUGACCAUUUUAAAGGCAGCUCUACCUUUCCAGGCUUUAUUUCCCCCCCCUGUGGCCUCCUCGCUCCCUCUAUCUGCCUCAACCGUGGAACUACUGUUAGAAACCUACACCCGUGUUUCCGACUCGGAAUGCAAAAUACAUCUAGGCCUGGUUAUGCCAAAGAAACUAGUGUUUAUUUGUUUACAAAUACUGUGUAGGCCCAGAUCGACCGUUUACUUGCUUUUUUGUUUUACUUAGACAAUUGCAUGUUUACAGCUUGCUUGCCGCUAUUGGUCAUUUGAACGAGCAAUGGCAUUUUUAUAAUUAGUUUGAUUUCUUCCUUUGUUUAUUGGCUACUUUGAAUAGUUUAGUUUGAUGUCUUCCUUUGUUUAUUGGCUACUUUGAAACACUCGGUGUUUCGAGUCAGGGACAUUAAACUGUAAAGGGCAACUAGCCUGGGCUACCUCUGGGGAAAAAAUAUACUAUCUUCUCAUCUUCCUCCCUUCAUCGGACAACGUUCACCUUUUCCCUCCCUAGUUUUGUCGCAAAAACGGCGAGAUUUUUCUGAAAGGCAUGGAGGACCAGGCCCGCAUGAUGUCGGGUCUCGUCGGGCUGUCCGGACUGUCUCAGGUCGACGUGGGGGACCAUGACGCCGGGAGGAAGCAGCACUCCCUCGGUCAGCCGCAGCAGGACAUCGGGGAUAUCCUCCAGCAGAUCAUGGCCAUCACGGACGAGAGUCUCGACGAGGCCCAGGCCAGGAAACAUGCGUUAAACUGCCACAGAAUGAAGCCCGCCCUCUUCAGCGUGCUGUGUGAGAUCAAAGAAAAGACAGUCCUCAGUAUCCGUGGUAUCCAGGAUGAGGAUCCACCAGAUCCCCAGAUCAUGCGAUUGGACAACAUGUUGCUGGCAGAGGGCGUGUCCGGCCCGGAGAAGGGUGGGGCCUCGGCGGCGGCGGCGGCUGUAGCGGCGGCGGCCGCGGGCGGGUCCCCUAACGACGGCAGUAUAGAACACUCAGACUACAGGGCCAAGCUGACUCAGAUCAGAGGAAUAUACCACUCUGAACUGGAGAAAUAUGAACAGGCGUGCAGUGAGUUCACCAACCAUGUGAUGAACCUGCUGAGGGAGCAGAGUCGUACGCGGCCCAUCUCUCCCAAGGAGAUAGAGCGCAUGGUGGGGAUCAUCCACCGCAAGUUCAGCUCCAUUCAGAUGCAGCUCAAACAGAGCACCUGUGAAGCCGUCAUGAUCCUACGCUCCAGAUUCCUCGACGCCAGACGGAAGAGACGUAACUUCAACAAGCAGGCUACUGAGGUGCUGAAUGAGUACUUCUACUCCCACCUGUCUAACCCCUACCCCAGUGAGGAGGCCAAAGAGGAACUGGCCAAGAAGUGUGCCAUCACCGUCUCUCAGGUGUCUAACUGGUUUGGUAACAAGAGGAUCAGGUACAAGAAGAACAUAGGGAAGUUCCAGGAGGAAGCUAACCUGUACGCUGUGAAAACAGCUGUAGAUGCAGCCAGCGUCUCCUCACAGGCCAGCCAGGCCAACUCCCCUGCCACGCCUAACUCAGGUGGAUACCCAGCACCAUGCUACACUCCUGACGGGAUGUUAUGAGGAGCUGCCUGGAGGAACUCUGUUUCCUCCCCACUGUCUCCAUGUCAGUAUCUAUGGUUGAUAGUGGAUGGCAGGACAGCACCGACCCCCCCUCCCUCACCCCCCCUCACGGGGCACCGGGCAGCGUGCACUCCGACACCUCAAACUGAGACACACACUCACCCCAAAUGCCCCCACCCCUCUACCCUUCAAAUUCCACUUCCUCCACCCUCACACAGCCACCCCUCUACCCACCCAAUCCCUCACCUGUAUCUCAAACUAACCCAAGUCCCAAAUAUGCCCCCCCCCACAUAUCAGUCAUACCUCAAGCUGAGACAACUUCCCCCCUGUUUUACCUGUACUUGAGCAUCAGUCUCCCCCUCCACUCCCGUUGCACCAUAACCCCCUAGCUCUUCCCUCCCUCCUCUCUCUCCCCCCUCUCCCGCCUCCUCUCUCCCCCCCUCUUUCUCCCUCCUCUCCUUCCCUCUUUUUCUUUAUUUUUAUAACCACUUAUUUUUCUCUCGUUUAAAAAAAGAUAAUUUAGUCACAUGUAGUUUUUUUUUUUUCUAAUACUGUUUCACAAAGACGCACCAGCCGCGUGUGUUGGAGCCUGACGUGGACGCAUCAUGUUACUCAAAAAGAAGAAGAAGAAUAAUAAUAAAAAAAUGCAUAACAAGAAAAAUAAAGAAAAAAAAUCUAAUGUUUCUCGUCUUCCAUGCAUGUAGUCCCUUUUAGGUGUUUAGCAACGAUUGUAUUUUUCCUUUUACUUUUUAGACUUUUUAAAAAAAAACAGUUGCUACAGAGACAUAAUGUACACAACGGAAAGUUCUAAAUGGCAGAAAAUAACCAAAAAUGAAUAAAUACAUUGUAUGUCAAUUAUUAA